rnacentral:sRNA from 1 species
GCUAGGCAUGGUGGCUCAUGCCUGUAAUCCUAGCAACUUGGGAGGCUGAGACAGGAGGAUCACAAGUUUGAGGACAGCCUCAGCAAUUUAGCAAGACUCUCAGCAACUUAAUGGAAUCGUGUCUCAA